UAGGGAAUCUUCGGCAAUGGGGGCAACCCUGACCGAGCAACGCCGCGUGAGUGAAGAAGGUUUUCGGAUCGUAAAGCUCUGUUGUAAGAGAAGAACGUGUGUGAGAGUGGAAAGUUCACACAGUGACGGUAACUUACCAGAAAGGGACGGCUAACUACGUGCCAGCAGCCGCGGUAAUACGUAGGUCCCGAGCGUUGUCCGGAUUUAUUGGGCGUAAAGCGAGCGCAGGCGGUUUAAUAAGUCGGAAGUUAAAGGCAGUGGCUUAACCAUUGUUCGCUUUUAAAACUGUUAAACUUGAGUGCAGAAGGGGAGAGUGGAAUUCCAUGUUUAGCGGUGAAAUGCGUAGAUAUAUGGAGGAACACCGGUGGCGAAAGCGGCUCUCUGGUCUGUAACUGACGCUGAGGCUCGAAAGCGUGGGGAGCAAACAGG
rnacentral:rRNA from 1 species